UACGUAGGGUGCAAGCGUUAAUCGGAAUUACUGGGCGUAAAGCGUGCGCAGGCGGUUCUAUAAGACAGAUGUGAAAUCCCCGGGCUCAACCUGGGAACUGCAUUGUGACUGUAGAGCUGAAGUACGGCAGAGGGGGAUGGAAUUCCGCGUGUAGCAGUGAAAUGCGUAGAUAUGCGGAGGAACACCGAUGGCGAAGGCAAUCCCCUGGGCCUGUACUGACGCUCAUGCACGAAAGCGUGGGGAGCAAACGGG
rnacentral:rRNA from 1 species